ACCCGGGUUGCGGACAGUGUCUGGUGGGUAGUUUGACUGGGGCGGUCUCCUCCUAAAGAGUAACGGAGGAGCACGAAGGUUGGCUAAUCCUGGUCGGACAUCAGGAGGUUAGUGCAAUGGCAUAAGCCAGCUUGACUGCGAGCGUGACGGCGCGAGCAGGUGCGAAAGCAGGUCAUAGUGAUCCGGUGGUUCUGAAUGGAAGGGCCAUCGCUCAACGGAUAAAAGGUACUCCGGGGAUAACAGGCUGAUACCGCCCAAGAGUUCAUAUCGACGGCGGUGUUUGGCACCUCGAUGUCGGCUCAUCACAUCCUGGGGCUGAAGUAGGUCCCAAGGGUAUGGCUGUUCGCCAUUUAAAGUGGUACGCGAGCUGGGUUUAGAACGUCGUGAGACAGUUCGGUCCCUAUCUGCCGUGGGCGCUGGAGAACUGAGGGGGGCUGCUCCUAGUACGAGAGGACCGGAGUGGACGCAUCACUGGUGUUCGGGUUGUCAUGCCAAUGGCACUGCCCGGUAGCUAAAUGCGGAAGAGAUAAGUGCUGAAAGCAUCUAAGCACGAAACUUGCCCCGAGAUGAGUUCUCCCUGAGACUUAGAGUCUCCUGAAGGAACGUUGAAGACGAC
rnacentral:rRNA from 1 species